AAGCCAGGUUACCUCCCUUGGACCACUGAUUACACCCCUGCGUGGAGGACACAGCCUGGAGUGAACACUGGGACUCACUUUGCUGUUAGCACUUGCGUGAGCUGGCUCAUUACUUGAAUUGUGCUCCUUGUUCUGUCUCUGAGAGGACUGAGCUCCGGGAGAGAACACCAAAGCGAUCGCCAACACCAAACGCAGGAGGAGGAAUUCAAAGUCGAGUGCUUUUGUUGGUUGGGUCCACAAGAAAAUAAAGAGCCAAAAUAAGUCCUAAAUCAGGAAACAGAUAUUCUGUGUUCCAGCUUGACUACAAACUCCCAGUGUGCAAGUAAGUUAAUCUAUCUGAGCCUCAGCUUUUUAUAUAUAAACUCAAAAUUAUGGAUUAGUUUAUUUUUAAGUUCCCAUCUGGGUCCAAAAUUACAGCAAACCUUAGCUGUGGCACAGCUGAAAAUACCAGUAACUAAGCCAGGUCCUGUUAAUGGCCGGCCAGUUCAUCUUCCAAAAGGACUUUGAGACAAGAUGGUUCUUCCCAUUAGAAGAAGAAAUGAAGUUUAAUGCAGAUGGACCCA
rnacentral:lncRNA from 1 species